AUUCAACUGAGGAGUCUUAAGUAGGAUGAAACGCGCGUUCUGAAU
rnacentral:hammerhead_ribozyme from 1 species